rnacentral:rRNA from 1 species
UACGUAGGGGGCAAGCGUUGUCUGGAUUUAUUGGGCGUAAAGAGCGUGUAGGCGGUUUGGUAGGUCCGUUGUGAAAACUCGAGGCUCAACCUCGAGACGCCGAUGGAAACCAUCAGACUAGAGUCCGGAAGAGGAGAGUGGAAUUCCUGGUGUAGCGGUGAAAUGCGUAGAGAUCAUGAGGAAGACCAGUGGCGAAGGCGGGUCUCUGGACAGUUCCUGACACUGAGGCACGAAGGCCAGGGGAGCAAACGGGG